CCUACGGGAGGCAGCAGUGGGGAAUAUUGGACAAUGGGCGCAAGCCUGAUCCAGCCAUGCCGCGUGAGUGAAGAAGGCCUUCGGGUUGUAAAGCACUUUCAGCGAGGAAGAAAGCCUCUGGGCCAAUACCCCAGAGGAAGGACAUCACUCGCAGAAGAAGCACCGGCUAACUCCGUGCCAGCAGCCGCGGUAAU
rnacentral:rRNA from 1 species